rnacentral:rRNA from 1 species
AGAGUUUGAUCCUGGCUCAGAGUGAACGCUGGCGGCAGGCCUAACACAUGCAAGUCGAGCGGUAACAGAUCUAGCUUGCUAGACGCUGACGAGCGGCGGACGGGGGAGUAACGCGUCUACCCAGUAGCGGGGGAUAGCCCGGGGAAACUCGGAUUAAUACCGCAUAAUCUCUUCGGAGCAAAGCAGGGGAUCUUCGGACCUUGCGCUAUUGGAUGAGCCCGCGUCAGAUUAGCUAGUUGGUGGGGUAAAGGCCUACCAAGGCGACGAUCUGUAGCUGGCCUGAGAGGGUGGUCAGCCACACUGGAACUGAGACACGGUCCAGACUCCUACGGGAGGCAGCAGUGGGGAAUAUUGCGCAAUGGAGGAAACUCUGACGCAGCCAUGCCGCGCGUGUGAAGAAGGCCUUCGUGUUGUAAAGCACUUUAAGCGAGGAGGAAAGGUUACUGGUUAAUAACCCGUAGCUGUGACGUUACUCGUAGAAUAAGCAGCGGCUAAUUCAGUGCCAGCAGCUGCGGUCAUACUGAAGGUGCAAGCGUUAAUCGGAAUUACUGGGCGUAAAGCGCACGUAGGCGGUUCGUUAAGUUGGAUGUGAAAGCCCAGGGCUCAACCUUGGAACUGCAUCCGAUUCUGGCGAGCUAGAAUAUAGGACAGGGAGGUAGAAUUUCAGGUGUAGCGGUGAAAUGCGUAGAUAUUAGGAGGAACACCAGUGGCGAAGGCGACUGCCUGGACUCAUACUGACACUGAGGUGCGAAAGCGUGGGGAGCGAACAGGAUUAGAUACCCUGGUAGUCCACGCCGUAAACGAUGACAACUAUGUUGGAGUAAUUUGUAAUCCUUUAGUAUCGUAGCUAACGCGAUAAGUUCUCCGCCUGGGGAGUACGGCCGCAAGGUUAAAACUCAAAUGAAUUGACGGGGGCCCGCACAAGCGGUGGAGCAUGUGGUUUAAUUCGAUGCAACGCGAAGAACCUUACCUGGCCUUGACAUCCUUGGAAUUUCGCAGAAACGUGAAAGUGCCCUUCGGGAGCCAAGAGACAGGUGCUGCAUGGCUGUCGUCAGCUCGUUCGUGAGAUGUUGGGUUAAGUCCCGCAACGAGCGCAACCCCUAUCUCUAGUUGCCAGCGAUUCGGUCGGGAACUCUAGAGAGACUGCCGGUGAUAAACCGGAGGAAGGUGGGGAUGACGUCAAGUCAUCAUGGCCCUUACGGCCAGGGCUACACACGUGCUACAAUGGAUAAUACAGAGGGUUGCGAACCCGUAAGGAGUAGCUAAUCUCAGAAAAUUAUUCGUAGUCCGGAUUGGAGUCUGCAACUCGACUCCAUGAAGUCGGAAUCGCUAGUAAUCGCGAAUCAGCAUGUCGCGGUGAAUACGUUCCCGGGCCUUGUACACACCGCCCGUCACACCACGGGAGUGGGUUGUACCAGAAGUAGGUAGUCUAACCGCAAGGAGGACGCUUACCACGGUAUGGUUCAUGACUGGGGUGAAUUCGGAACAAGGUA